rnacentral:rRNA from 1 species
CAGCAGCCGCGGGAAAACGUAGGUGGCAAGCGUUGUCCGGAAUUAUUGGGCGUAAAGGGCUCGCAGGCGGUUUCUUAAGUCUGAUGUGAAAGCCCCCGGCUCAACCGGGGAGGGUCAUUGGAAACUGGGAAACUUGAGUGCAGAAGAGGAGAGUGGAAUUCCACGUGUAGCGGUGAAAUGCGUAGAGAUGUGGAGGAACACCAGUGGCGAAGGCGACUCUCUGGUCUGUAACUGACGCUGAGGAGCGAAAGCGUGGGGAGCGAACAGGAUUAGAUACCCCCGUAGUCCCUGUCUCUUAUAC